CCAACGUUAAAUGACACAUUUGUUCCGGAUGAAGUGAAAAGGUGCAUUCAUGUUGGUCUCUUAUGUGUAGAACAAUAUGCAAAUGAUCGACCUACAAUGUCUGAUGUUAUAUCAAUGUUAACAAACAAAUAUGAACUCACAACAAUACCUAGAAGACCAGCAUUUUAUGUUAGAAGAGACAUUCUUGAUAGAGAAACAACUUCUAAAGUGCCAGACACCGACACCUAUUCUACAACAAUUUCUACCUCGUGUGAAGUAGAAGGGAAAAUAUAAAUAAUCAAUAAAUAUAUAUGUAGAUUGUUCAUACACUCGUUUGAAACAGAUUUUGUUCUUUGAAGUAUCAAAAAAUGUAAGCUUGAAUAUGGUUUGGUUUUAUGAAAUAUUCAGUGUCUGUAAAAAAAAAUUCAAAAUGGUUCUUAAAGUACGUACUUUUUCAUUGUAGUUCUUGUUAAUAGAUUUUAGUCUAAAUUAGAUUUUCAUAGUCCAUCACCAACAUUUUUGAUUUCUAACAAGUCCUAUUUAUAAAUGGCACAUAACAAAUUAUUUCUACAAAAAUGGUACCUGAAAAGCAUGCCAAUCACAAAAAUGGUAACCUAUUAGCACUAGGCAGAGGACGAAAUUUAAUGCAAUGGAGUUCCAAAGCUAAUCUAUACUAAUUUUUUGUAUGAAAAGGCAUAUUUACCUCUGGAAUCCUUUCAAUCAUUUUUUACUUUAAAACUUGUUCAGCUUCCGUUACUAAUUUUCUAUACUAAUUUUUUGUAUGAAAAGGCAUAUUUUUUAUUUUAAUAUAUUAAGAUCUGAAAAAAGAGAAUACACCCGUUUAAGCUGAAUUUACUACUUCCUACUCUUGACAUACUUUUGAGCUGAAUUUACAAACAAUACAAUUUGGAUAUAGGCAAAAUUAAUGUAACUCAAAUAAAAUGUUCAGCUACUGGUUUUUUUCUUCUUUAUAUUUUGAAUAUGCUUUUAUCUAGAAAAGAAGACAUGUUUCAUUUUUGCAAUAUUUUUUUUUUUUUUUUAUAGUUAAGAUAGUAAUAAAAGGUUGAAUUAUUUUGUAGGUUACUAUACUUUUUAAUUUGCAAUUAGUUCUUUCCUUGAAUUGAACCGCAAGAGUGCAAAUUUCUUUAAGUGCAGCAACAAGAAGGGGGUUAAUGGGAAAUGGUUGAGUUUGGCUUUGCAAAAGGUUCAAAUUUUCUCUUGCCUAGUAAUUUUUGUAGACUCCCGACUUGCUCAAAUUUAUCUGAAAGAGGAGUGUUAGUGGAUGGUGUUAUUUCAGACUCUGUGUGGUGUCCUAGGAUUCGAGAGGUGAAGGAUCACUUGUUUUGUAGAAGUAACUUCGUUGCAGAGGUAUUCGUUUUUUAAAUGGAUCGGAACGGGGGUCAUUCUACCUGCAAAUUUUCUUUCCCUCCUAGAUUAUUUAUCUUCUUUAAAUAAAAGGCAUUGUAAGGGCUUAACACUUAUCCAGCAUGCAAUAUUGUGGAUGAUUUGGGAAUCGCGAAAUGAGGUUAUUUUCUCCUCAAAGAUUGCGGAAGUGCAGGAGAUCGUAGAAGGUAUCAAAGUAACAUCUAUAAAGUUGGUUUCUUGCUAAAAAAAAGGGGACCAUGUUUCUAUAAUGAUUUCAAACCCUCUUCUUUGUUUAAAUACUUAAGUUAGAGGUUGGUUUUUUUUGGGCAUGUAACCCUUAUACUUUUCCCAACUUGUAGGUUAAGUACUCUUUCUACUUCUCUCCUUUCUAAUAGAUAUGGUUGUUAAAAAACAAAACAAAAAUCAUAGCUUUCAUAAGAACACCUGCUUUAGGCUUACGUACUCUUUGUAAUAAAAGAAAAAAAGCACACCUACUUGAAUAACGUAUUAUUUUCUUGAAAGAAAAAAAAUAAACAAAUUCUUUUCAUUCGUUAUAUCACAUAAUUUAAUUUCAUUACUUCAAUUUAAAAAAUAAAAUAAAAAAUAAAUAAACUUUACUUAGGUCCCUUGCGAACAGGGACGUUAUAAUCUAUACAUUACUUAUCCUUCAAUUAUUAUUGUAUUAAAGUAAACUUCUUUUAAAAAAAGUAUAGUAGAGAAAAGUAGUCUAGUUUGUGCAACAUUUAGUAGUGGAAAAAUAAAGAUAAAGUUGAUUUGACAUUAACAUUGUGAACCAGAAGAAACUCUGAUAAAGUUGGGCAGUGCAGAUUGCAAGAAACAAGUUGGUGAGUAUUUCUCUUCUUUUUGAAACAAUAUUCAACAAUGAUGAUAAGCUUUGAAAUAAAGAAACAAGUUGUAUUGAUAUACCUAUGGUUGUGGUGGAACACUACUGCUAAUAUUUGUGUUGAAGCAACAAGUGAUAGUUUGAAGCCAGGUGAUAAAUUGAAUUACAAAUCCAAGCUAUGUUCUAAACAAGGCAAGUUUUGUCUUCAAUUCGGCAAUAAUUCUAAUUCUGAUUUCCAAUGCUUGUUUAUAAGUGUUAAUGCUGAUUAUGGCAAAGUAGUGUGGGUGUAUGAUAUAAAUCAUUCCAUUGACUUUAAUACAUCAGUUCUAUCACUAGACUACUCUGGUGUGCUCAAAAUAGAAUCUCAAAAUAGGAAACCAAUAAUCAUUUACUCUUCACCUCAACCUACCAACAACACUGUGGCCACUAUGUUAGACGCCGGUAACUUUGUGCUUCAACAAUUUCUUCCCAACGGCUCAAUGAGUGUGUUGUGGCAGAGUUUUGAUUAUCCAUCAGACGUUUUGAUCCCAAUGAUGAAGUUAGGCGUUAAUCGAAAAACAGGACAUAAUUGGUCAUUGGUUUCAGAUAAAUUUAAUCUUGAAUGGGAACCAAAACAAGGUGAAUUGAACAUCAAGAAAAGCGGCAAAGUGUAUUGGAAAAGCGGAAAACUUAAAAGCAAUGGAUUAUUCGAGAAUAUUCCGGCCAAUGUUCAAAGUAGGUAUCAGUACAUUAUUGUCUCUAACAAGGAUGAAGAUUCUUUCACGUUCGAAGUUAAAGAUGGGAAGUUUGCACAAUGGGAACUAUCCUCGAAGGGGAAGUUAGUAGGUGAUGAUGGAUAUAUUGCUAAUGCAGAUAUGUGUUACGGAUAUAAUAGUGAUGGAGGGUGCCAAAAAUGGGAGGAUAUACCAACUUGCAGGGAACCUGGUGAGAUGUUUCAGAAAAAGGCGGGAAGACCAAGCAUAGACAAUUCAACAACAUAUGAAUUCGACGUGACUUAUAGUUACAGUGAUUGCAAGAUCAGAUGUUGGAAAAAUUGUAGUUGCAAUGGAUUCCAACUAUAUUAUAGUAAUAUGACUGGAUGUGUAUUCCUUUCAUGGAAUUCGACACAAUAUGUUGACAUGGUUCCGGAUAAAUUUUACACCUUGGUAAAGACAACAAAAUCAGCUCCGAAUUCCCAUGGUACGUAAGUUAUAAUGUCAUUUUAAGUGAUUAUUUAUUUUCUGCUUAUUCAACUAUAGAAACUGCCUUCCUUCAGCCCAUUAUAUAACCGAUGCCAAUCUAAGGACAAAUAAAAUUGAUUGGAAUCAAACAUCAUCUCUGUAUUUUAAUAGCAAAUGUUAGUAUACUAAUUAGUAUGAUGUUAGCAUAUUUUUUUUUGUUAUGACUUGAAUCGUAGACUUUAAACUCGACAACUUAUUUAACCCCUUAGCUUAAUUGUUGAGCUACCCAACUGCCCUCCUCUAUAAAUUAGAUUAUCGAAAAUGUCACUUUAAAUUUUAAAAUAAGGUUUGUUAUGUUGUUUGGGGGUUGUGUGCGAGCACCGGAACGUAGGUGGUGGAAGUUUUUUUUGGUGGCAGCUUGUGACGUUGGUUGAGAUUUUUUAUGUACGUUUGGUCAGGGUUUUGGUACAACUUUUAUUUUCCUUUGUAUGUUGCUACUUUACGACUCCUAGUCUAGCAUUUUUUGUGUUGGUCAGAUUCUUUAUGAUUUUAAUAAAUUCAUUUGGCUUCUUCAAAAAAAAAAAAUUAAAUAAGGUUUAAUCUCAUUUUGCAUAUUAACCCGUUAGUCUAUUUAUUACAUAUGUGACAAAGUUACUUAAACUACCUAUUGUCUAAGGGUGUGUUUGGUAGGAAGAGAAGUUGUGAAGAGAGAAAAAGGUGGGAGAGAGUAUGAGUAGAGAGAAAAUGUGAGAGAGAAAUAUGUUUAUUUUUGAAAGGUCUAAUAUGUAGAGUAGAUUUUAUGUAUUGUUUGUUGUAAGAGAAAGAAGAGAGAUAAUAUACCCUUGAAUUAAAAAAUUAAAGAACCUAUAAUAUAAAUCUUCUUAUAUAUUAAAGUUAACCCGUAAGCCCUAAUUUUAACCUAAACCCUAUUGCAUAAUUUUACUGUUUUAACCUUAAUGCUCGCACUUAAUCUCCUAUUUUCAUGAACAACCCUAAUGCUCUCACCUAAUCUUCUUAUCUUCUUAUAUAUUAAAGUUAUCCCGUAAGCCCUAAUUUUAACCUAAACCCUAUUGCAUAAUUUUACUGUUUUUACCCUAAUGCUCACACCUAAUCUCCUAUUUUCAUGAACAAAGCAAAUCGGCAUCGCUUUAUUUCCCCUAUUUCUUCAAAACAAAUCGCCCUAUUUCUUCAACAAAACAAAUCGCCCUAUUGGAAUAAAAGGGUUUUGAAAAAUUAUAGCAACAUUUUUUUUGUUAAUAUUACAUUUUUCAUCCAAAUUGAAACUUAACUCUCUUUGUUAAAUAUCUACCACAAAAUGCACCAGAAUUUUGCAAUCUAUAUAAACAGGUGGAAGAAACAUUUCAACAAACAGUUAAAGAGUAUCAUUUACGGUAAAGGCCAAAUAUUCGAUAAAAGAAAAAUUAUUUAAAUACAACAUUUUACAUGUUGAGGUUAAGAAUGAGCUAUUUUUAGGUACAUAAUAUAACAUUAACAUAUAAUUUUUACAAAAGAAUGAAGUAACAUUUUGUCAAAAAAAAAAAAAAUGAAGUAACAUACCAAUAAUAUAACAUUGACAUAUAAUUUUAACAAAAAGAAUGAAGUAACACACGAUGGAUAAAAAUUAAUAUUUUUAAGGUGAAUAACUGUGGUGUCUGAGGUUCGAAUUCCAACAUCUGCAUAUAUUUGGGACCACAUAUUUCAUUCUCUUUGAUAUGCAUUGAGAUUUGUUUUUGUCUACUACAUCUACAAUUAGUUUAAUUAACAGGUUAAAUAUAAUUAAAUUGGAUAAUUAAUUUUUUAUGCCAAAAUGAUAAAAAAAAGAACGAAACAAUUGGUGUUUUGAAUUAAAUAAUUUAACAAAUCAUUUCAUCAACAUGUACCUGUCGUCAAAAAAUCUUUUGUGCUUCAGUUCUUUUUUUUUUUUUUUUUUAUCUAUUUGUUUGAAAAAUCCCUCUCUUUAUUUAUUAACUAUUAUGUUGCAGCAAGCAAGGACACAAUUGGAAAAUGAGAGUUCUCUCCUAUUUCUCUGCUGUCUUGCGAAGACUAAAAAAUGUGCAGCCCCAUGCUUUUAGACUCUGUCUCUUCUAUUUCUUUCCUCUGCAAAACUGAAGAAAAGCCCAUAUUCUCUUGUAUCUCUCUCGCCCCAAUUUCUCUCUUCCCUAAUUCAUCUCUACCAAACAAACCGUAAGAGACAAACUUGCCUUGUACAUUAUAUGGUGGAAAAUGCAAUUUGAUUAAAAAAAAAGAUUGAAAAAGAAGUUCUUUCACUACAACAAUUAUGAUGUAAUGCAACUCCAUUUUGAAAGGACUAAAAAUAAAAAAACCGUUAUCUAGUACGACAAAGUCAACACAAUAUUAAUGGAUAGUCUCGGGUUAUUAUAUUCGAUAAUAACAAAAAAACGGUCAUAAUAUUAAUACUAUUUAGUUAUUUUAUUUUUACUUUUUAAUUAUUUUAUAUUUACUUUUCGAGUGUUGCUAGCAUUCCUCUUUUAUAGAAAUAGAAUCCAAAUGUAAUCUCACAAUCGCUUCAUCUCAUAAUCACUUCAUCAUAAUUGUUUAAUCAUAAUCGUUUAAUCACAUCACUUCAUCAGAAUCACUACUCAUCAUAUCUACUUUAUCGCGAUCACUUUUACAUCCUUAUCACAGUCGCUUCAUCACAACCGUUCUAAUCAAAUUUAUUUCACAAGACCUAGAACUCAAAUAAAAUAAAAAAGUGUCAAAGGGAUAUAUUUCUAUUGCUCAAUGAUUAUUUUUUAUUUUUGUUGAAACAAAGGGGCUAAGAAAACCCCAAAAGAACUAGAAACCACGAGGAAAAGCUACAGCUGAAGACUCCGCAACAACCAGUAAUAAAGAAAAAUCCGGAACACGAUCAAAAAUACGAUAAUGAUUAUCUAAGGACAAUCCAAAUUUUGCCAAGAUGUCAUGGUAGAAACAAUAGCCAAAUGAUUCCAAAAAGUCAUAUUUAUAAAUGAGGAUUUUGAAGUUGAAGUAUUAGGGUUUGGCAUCAAGAUAUGACCAACAAAAUUAAAUGUUUGAGAUGAAUAUGCUUAUAUCACAAUUCAAAUUGAUUUUGUAUAGUCAAUGCAGGUAUAAAAAGGUGGAUAUGGAUAGGUGCUGCAAUUACAACUGCUUUACUCAUAUUAUGCCCACUCAUUAUAUGGCUAGCCAAAAAGAAAAAAAAAUAUGCACUUCCAGGUAUAUCAAUAUGGAUACUUUAAAACAGUCAAUGCAAGUAAAACAAGAUGGAUAUGUAUAGGUUCUAUCUUUAUCUUUGAUUUUUUUGGUUAUGUAGAUAAGAAAAGUAAAAGAAAGGAAGGUAAGAGCAAUGAUUUGGUGGAAUCAUAUGAUAUCAAAGAUCUUGAAGACGACUUCAAGGGACAUGAUAUAAAAGUUUUUAACUUUACAUCAAUCUUGGAAGCAACUAUGGAAUUUUCCCCUGAAAACAAGUUAGGACAGGGAGGUUAUGGACCCGUUUAUAAGGUGACUUUAUAGUUAAAUUGUAUGUUUUAAAAACAUGUUGUAAAUUACUAUUAUAAUUAUGGCACCAGCAUCAUGUUGCAAACAAGUGUUUCUAAUGUGGUAAUGUUGUUUUUCAUGGUUAGUGAUUAUUGUUUCGGACAAAACUUAUAUGUAUUUUUUAUAGGUAUUUUUUGGUAUGGUUCUUAACUGUAGCAACUAUGUUUCUUCAAAUGUAUUAAGUUAAGAACCAUAUUCAUAUUAUCUAAAGAAAUGCACCUAAAUUUUGUACUUGUGUUUUAAGAUUUCAGGGAAUCUUGGCAACAGGGCAAGAAAUUGCUGUAAAAAGGCUUUCGAAAACAUCUGGACAAGGAAUUGUGGAAUUCAAAAAUGAAUUGUUACUUAUAUGUGAACUUCAGCACAAAAAUCUUGUCCAACUACUUGGUUGUUGCAUUCAUGAAGAAGAAAGGAUUCUAAUUUACGAAUAUAUGCCAAACAAAAGCUUGGAUUUCUACCUAUUUGGUAAGAAUGUGUGAAGUCUAUAUUUGUAUGUGAUGUUAUCCUAGCUCAUGUUUUAUAUACUCAUUAGUUAGCCAUGGAAAACUAAAUAACAUUAUGAUUUGCUACUUUUGAAUAAUAUACAUUUGAAUAACAUUAUGUUUUCAUUGAGAAGAUUGUACAAAAAAGAUGUUGCUAGAUUGGAAGAAGCGUUUCAACAUAAUCGAAGGAAUUUCUCAAGGAUUACUCUAUCUUCAUAAGUACUCAAGACUCAAAAUCAUUCACAGAGACUUGAAAGCUAGCAACAUACUUCUUGAUGAGAAUAUGAACCCAAAAAUUGCUGAUUUUGGUAUGGCAAGGAUGUUUACACAACUGGAAUCCACAGUAAAUACCAACCGGAUUGUUGGGACUUAGUGAGUAUUCUAAAAUUUAUUUGUUAUUAAUAUUUUUAUUAUGAUGAUUUUGUGAAAACUUUUUAUUUUAAAGUUAUGAAUUUUUUUGUGUAGUGGUUACAUGUCUCCAGAAUAUGCCAUGGAAGGAGUUUGUUCUACAAAGUCUGAUGUCUAUAGCUUUGGAGUGUUGAUGCUUGAAAUUGUUUGUGGAAGAAAAAAUAAUAGCUUUUAUGAUGAUGAUCGUCCACUAAAUCUAAUCGGACAUGUAUGUCAAUUACUUUCAUUGAGUUUUUUUUAAUAAAUAUUACCUAUUCUUCGUAAUUUGAUUAGAUUAUUAAUAGGCAUGGGAGCUAUGGAAUGAUGGUGAGUAUCUAAAGCUAAUGGAUCCAACGUUAAAUGACACAUUUGUUCCGGAUGAAGUGAAAAGGUGCAUUCAUGUUGGUCUCUUAUGUGUAGAACAAUAUGCAAAUGAUCGACCUACAAUGUCUGAUGUUAUAGCAAUGUUAACAAACAAAUAUGAACUCACAACAAUACCCAGAAGACCAGCAUUUUAUGUUAGAAGAGACAUUCUUGAUGGAGAAACAACUUCUAAAGUGCCAGACACCGACACCUAUUCUACAACAAUUUCUACCUCGUGUGAAGUAGAA
rnacentral:lncRNA from 1 species